CGCUGGCGGCAUGCCUUACACAUGCAAGUCGAACGGAAGCACGGAGCUUGCUCCCUGAUUCAGCGGCGGACGGGUGAGUAAUGCCUAGGAAUCUGCCUGGUAGUGGGGGACAACGUCUCGAAAGGGACGCUAAUACCGCAUACGUCCUACGGGAGAAAGUGGGGGAUCUUCGGACCUCACGCUAUCAGAUGAGCCUAGGUCGGAUUAGCUAGUUGGUGAGGUAAUGGCUCACCAAGGCGACGAUCCGUAACUGGUCUGAGAGGAUGAUCAGUCACACUGGAACUGAGACACGGUCCAGACUCCUACGGGAGGCAGCAGUGGGGAAUAUUGGACAAUGGGCGAAAGCCUGAUCCAGCCAUGCCGCGUGUGUGAAGAAGGUCUUCGGAUUGUAAAGCACUUUAAGUUGGGAGGAAGGGCAUUAACCUAAUACGUUAGUGUUUUGACGUUACCGACAGAAUAAGCACCGGCU
rnacentral:rRNA from 1 species